rnacentral:rRNA from 1 species
AAUAGAUACCCCGGUAGUCCACGCCGUAAACGUUGGGCGCUAGAUGUGGGGACCAUUCCACGGUUUCCGUGUCGCAGCUAACGCAUUAAGCGCCCCGCCUGGGGAGUACGGCCGCAAGGCUAAAACUCAAAGGAAUUGACGGGGGCCCGCACAAGCGGCGGAGCAUGCGGAUUAAUUCGAUGCAACGCGAAGAACCUUACCAAGGCUUGACAUAUACGAGAACGCCCUAGAAAUAGGGAACUCUUUGGACACUCGUAUACAGGUGGUGCAUGGUUGUCGUCAGCUCGUGUCGUGAGAUGUUGGGUUAAGUCCCGCAACGAGCGCAACCCUCGUUCUAUGUUGCCAGCGGUUCGGCCGGGGACUCAUAGGAGACUGCCGGGGUCAACUCGGAGGAAGGUGGGGAUGACGUCAAAUCAUCAUGCCCCUUAUGUCUUGGGCUUCACGCAUGCUACAAUGGCCGGUACAAAGGGCUGCAAUACCGCAAGGUGGAGCGAAUCCCAAAAAGCCGGUCUCAGUUCGGAUUGGGGUCUGCAACUCGACCCCA